UCUAAGUACCUCCCAAAACUCCCACCUUCGAGUAUCAUCACAUCUGGGCAUCUGGGAUUUUAACAUAGAAAUUUUGAGGACAUAAGCAUUCAGUCCAAAUUCUAUUCAUAAGGACAAAACCCACUUCGAAUUUUUUUCCCUUUUUUCUUGCAUUUUUACAUCUAAGGUGGUGAGUAAAGAACACCUCAUUGCUGGUGGAGACAAGAGAGAGGAUGAUGGUAGACAAUGUAUCAAGGAAGGUGGGCAUGAAGUCAGUGUGGCCCCUGCCUCUGCCACAGCCAAGGGUCCCAGAGAUGGACAAGGCAGAGAGAAUCUGAUGGACACAUAAAGAUGUCCUUUCUCAUAAAUUCUGAAGUAUCUGCACGUCCCAAGGUGAGCUGGUAUCUUCUUUUUAUUACUGGCAGUUUGCAAGUGAGGAUCUGACAUUAAAAAAAAAUAUGGCACUCACUUUUGAGAGUGUGACCCACUUUUCCAACUCU